rnacentral:rRNA from 1 species
AACGAACGCUGGCGGCAUGCCUAACACAUGCAAGUCGAACGAGACCUUCGGGUCUAGUGGCGCACGGGUGCGUAACGCGUGGGAAUCUGCCCUUGGGUUCGGAAUAACAGUUAGAAAUGACUGCUAAUACCGGAUGAUGACGUAAGUCCAAAGAUUUAUCGCCCAAGGAUGAGCCCGCGUAGGAUUAGCUUGUUGGUGAGGUAAAAGCUCACCAAGGCGACGAUCCUUAGCUGGUCUGAGAGGAUGAUCAGCCACACUGGGACUGAGACACGGCCCAGCCUCCUUCGGGAGGCAGCAGUGGGGAAUAUUGGACAAUGGGCGAAAGCCUGAUCCAGCAAUGCCGCGUGAGUGAUGAAGGCCUUAUGGUUGUAAAGCUCUUUUACCCGGGAUGAUAAUGACAGUACCGGGAGAAUAAGCCCCGGCUAACUCCGUGCCAGCCGCCGCAGUAACAC